AACUGACCGAAGCAAUCAUUCCCGACGAGAAAACAAAAUGGAAAAAAGCCCCACACCCCAUCGUCUUUCACUAGGACCCCAAUCCACCCCUGCAUCCCGCCGCCGCCCGAGCGUGCUCCCACCAGCGCGCCGCCGCCCCGGGCCUCCUUCCUCCUCCGGCCAAGCUCGCCGCCGCCCCCGGUCCUCCUUCCUCCUCCGGCCAAGCUCGCCGCCGCCCCCGGUCCUCCUUCCUCCUCCGGCCAAGCGCGCCGCUGCCCCUGUCCCCCUCCUCCGGCCAAGCGCGCCACCGCCCCCGGUCCUCGCGGCACGCCAUCGCCGCCGGUGCGCCUUACCUCGUGCGCGGCCGUGGCCCCUGACGCACCCCCACUGCUACCCUGUCCGCGGAUCCCCACGGCACGACGUCGAGGUCAUGGAGCACGAGGGAGGUUCUCUCACUAAUUUGUUUCUCUCUGUGCUGCAGCACGAGGGAGGUUGGAUGAACUGCACGAAAAAAAGCUCAGUUCUACAGACAGCCCCCGCCGCCCACACGGACUACUUCCUCCGGUCCUCAUCCAGCGGCCAAAUCCCGGCACACCUGAUAGUUCAAACUUACACCGACUGACCUGCGACCAACUACCCCGCCUCUACAAGCUCCUCGGGAAUGACUUGGUAGUAGCUGGGAUCCCCCUACAGCGGCAAAAUCCCGGCGCACCCAGCCGCCGCUCGUGAUCCCCGCUCCUUCAGCUCGACUUCGUCGGCGCAGUCAGUCCACAGGAGUAGGAGCGGCGUGCCCGGCAACAAACAAGAACAGAAGUUCAUAAAAAAAUCACAUACAGUUUUCUCUAGCAAUUCAUGAUGCUUCUUCAGCGAGGACACCGUGCUGCACCGGCGCCGCCACACAUGUCCGGUUUUCUCUAGUAUAUUUGAUGUAUGACCUGCAGUAGUUCUUCAGUGCACACAGGAAAAAAAAACUAGCAGUUCGAUUACUAAAUUAAUUUUUUAGUUCAGUUCAAUUAAUAAAUUUACUUCAGUUCAAAAAUGUUACUCCCUCCUUCCCAUAUUGUUAGGCGCUUUAGAUUUCAGCACGAAAAUUAGCGCACAUCGUUUGUUACUCAAGCUAUCGUACAGGUAUGAGAGACGGAGGCAUGUACGACCUCAAAAAAAGGAAAGGGAGGCAUGCACGAUCUCUUUGACCACGUCUUUUAACUGCACGAUCCCUUCGUUACCUACUAGUACUCCCUAAUUUCCAGGAAUUUAGCGAUUGUCAGGAUAUUUUACAGGAUAUUUUAACUGCUUGAGAGAAGGAGUUGUUUGCAUGUGCCUUACAUAUUCGGAUUGCAUGCAAAAGCUAAUACGCCUAACAAUUUGGGAAGGAGGGAGUACUAAAUUUACUUCAGUUCAAACUAGCAAUGGUAACGAGCUGUUCAAUGUGGGGUUCGUGCAACAUAUAAUGCAAAGUAGAUAGGUGCAGGAAGAAAGGUACUUUAUUUGAUUUAGUUCUCCCAUGAUGCUUGUGUAUUUCAAUCCUCUAAGUUGCAUUGCAAACGGCCAACAGUAGGGUUUUUUCAAUGCUUUUAUUGGAAUUUUCAAUGUAUAGUUGCAUUUAUUUUGCAUCUCCUCACUGAUAGAAGAACCCUGCUACUACUUCUUGGUGGGAAUGGUUUGACAUGUAUGUCACUGCCUAGUAUCAUAAAUAUCCUAGCUAAAUAGAUCAUGAUUUUCUCUCUUUCGCCUAUGUCUCUUAGUGUGUUACCCCUUCCUCUUUUCAUAUAGCAUAUUCUGAACAUCAGAUGCUUUCAAAAAUGUGUCGUGCAAGUCCAAGUAUAACUGCUGUAGGAGUUCAAAAAAUCUAACAAUUUAAGCUCAACCCAAUUUCAAAGAACUGUUUUCCUUCAUAAAUUGUAUUUUUGUUAGUUUGUUGUCAUGGACAGUACAGAUUCACAUUGCUGUGUAGUACAUGUGUCCAUUGAUGUGUUCGAAUCCCUUCCGUUCACUUUGAUUCCUACAGGUGGUUCAAUGUGUCGAGCGGCAGCAGCGCUUGAUCCCUAGUGGUUGCCCGCGCAAGGAGGAUACAGGGACGCUACAGUGGUGGAGGAGUCAGUACAUGUAGUAGCUAGCUCAAGAAAAGGAGGUUCAAAGACUGCCAUGUAGCAAGUUCAAGAGUUUAGUUUUGUGAAAAAAGUGAUUUCUUGGUUAAUGCAAUCCUCCUGUGGAAGCACUAAAACACGCUACCUGUUGAACUGAUACCGAAGACAAGGAGCAGGACCAAGUGUGCUGGAAGUUUUUUUGUACCCAUGUGCGGAAGCACUUUAUUUUUCUGAUAAUUAUUGUUGUGUUCAUGUGGGAAACUUCAAAAACAUCUUGUUUAAUAAGUUAUUGAGCUAAAAA